AUUGAACGCUGGCGGCAGGCCUAACACAUGCAAGUCGAGCGGAUGAAGGGAGCUUGCUCCUGGAUUCAGCGGCGGACGGGUGAGUAAUGCCUAGGAAUCUGCCUGGUAGUGGGGGAUAACGUCCGGAAACGGGCGCUAAUACCGCAUACGUCCUGAGGGAGAAAGUGGGGGAUCUUCGGACCUCACGCUAUCAGAUGAGCCUAGGUCGGAUUAGCUAGUUGGUGGGGUAAAGGCCUACCAAGGCGACGAUCCGUAACUGGUCUGAGAGGAUGAUCAGUCACACUGGAACUGAGACACGGUCCAGACUCCUACGGGAGGCAGCAGUGGGGAAUAUGGGACAAUGGGCGAAAGCCUGAUCCAGCCAUGCCGCGUGUGUGAAGAAGGUCUUCGGAUUGUAAAGCACUUUAAGUUGGGAGGAAGGGCAGUAAGUUAAUACCUUGCUGUUUUGACGUUACCAACAGAAUAGGCACCGGCUAACUUCG
rnacentral:rRNA from 1 species